GCGCUCAUAGCUCAGUUGGCUAGAGCACUGCACUUUUAAUGCAGGGGUCCUGGGUUCGAGCCCCAGUGGGCGCA
rnacentral:tRNA from 1 species